AAUGUACUCAUUUGACAUAUAACCUUGUUCUGUUAAUCUGUUUACAAGUAAACAUUCGUUUUUUAAUUGUAAAUUUAUAAGAUUUCAAUUACUUAUUGAUUUAUUCAAAAUGAUAAAUCACUUCGUUUAAUUGUCGAAACAUCGGAUAUAUUUCAAAACUUAGUUUUUUCCAAAUACCGGCUGAUGUUGAGUGAUGAAUGGAUACAAGGAACUUUGAAAUGUGCAGCAUUUGUUGUCAAGUAAUUGAUGAAGCAGAUGUGUUUGUUGCGAAAUGCUUCCAUCAGUUUCAUAAAAAAUGUUUGAGCACGGAGUCGGUCAAUAUAUCACGAUGCCCACAAUACUCGGAAGAAAUUGGUACAAAUAUGGUGGAGGGAGACUGCACAAUUUGCUUAGAGCCAUUAAAAAACGGAAUAUACAUAACCAACUGCAGACACUCCUUCCACCAUCAAUGUAUUUUUAAAUGGGGACUCAAAAUGAAAGUUGUCCUUAUUGCCUGACCCCUGUACUGAAGGAAGAUAUUUGUAGGGUAUCAAAACAAGACGAUAUAUUAAAAAUUAUUGAAAAAAGGUGAUAAAACGCGAUGUUCGACUCCGAUUGCUCUGAUGAUGUACCAGACGAAUAUUGGAAUGAUAUUGGUACAUAUUGGUCGAUGUUUAUAACUUCCUGAAAUACAUAUAGGUAUAAGAUAUUGUACAUAGUAGUAUUGAAUAUUUUUGAUUAAUAAAUAAUUUAAGAUUU